rnacentral:rRNA from 1 species
GACGAACGCUGGCGGCGUGCCUAACACAUGCAAGUCGAGCGAGGGACUUCGGUCCCUAGCGGCGGACGGGUGAGUAACACGUGGGUAACCUGCCUCAUAGAGGGGGAUAGCCUCCCGAAAGGGAGAUUAAUACCGCAUAUUAUCAUGCUGACGCAUGUCGGUGUGAUGAAAGGAGCAAUCCGCUAUGAGAUGGACCCGCGGCGCAUUAGCUAGUUGGUGAGGUAACGGCUCACCAAGGCGACGAUGCGUAGCCGACCUGAGAGGGUGAUCGGCCACAUUGGAACUGAGACACGGUCCAGACUCCUACGGGAGGCAGCAGUGGGGAAUAUUGCACAAUGGGCGAAAGCCUGAUGCAGCAACGCCGCGUGAGUGAUGAAGGCCUUCGGGUUGUAAAGCUCUGUCUUUUGGGACGAUAAUGACGGUACCAAAGGAGGAAGCCACGGCUAACUACGUGCCAGCAGCCGCGGUAAUACGUAGGUGGCAAGCGUUGUCCGGAUUUACUGGGCGUAAAGGAUGCGUAGGUGGAUAUUUAAGUGGGAUGUGAAAUACCCGAGCUCAACUUGGGUGCUGCAUUCCAAACUGGAUAUCUAGAGUGCAGGAGAGGUAAGUGGAAUUCCUAGUGUAGCGGUGAAAUGCGUAGAGAUUAGGAAGAACACCAGUGGCGAAGGCGACUUACUGGACUGUAACUGACACUGAGGCAUGAAAGCGUGGGGAGCAAACAGGAUUAGAUACCCAGGUAGUCCACGCCGUAAACGAUGGGUACUAGGUGUGGGAGGUAUCGACCCCUUCCGUGCCCGCCGAUCACACAAU